rnacentral:sRNA from 1 species
UUUCUCCAGGAUAACAGCAGGUUUGUUGUUUCAUGGUCUGCGAGAUUCUCGCAAGUACCAGGGAGAGAUAACGUUGCUUCAGCAACGGCCCGAAGGGCGAGGCGCAGCCGAGUCAUCCUCCCGGAUGCACCA